CAGUAGCCACGGGAAUACGGAGGGAGCUAGCGUUAUUCGGAAUUACUGGGCGUAAAGCGCACGUAGGCGGCUUUGUAAGUUAGAGGCGAAAGCCUGGAGCUCAACUCCAGAAUUGCCUUUAAGACUGCAUCGCUUGAAUCCAGGAGAGGUGAGUGGAAUACCGAGUGUAGAGGUGAGAUUCGUAGAUAUUCGGAAGAACACCAGUGGCGAAGGCGGCUCACUGGACUGGUAUUGACGCUGAGGUGCGAAAGCGUGGGGAGCAAACAGGAUUAGAUACCCCAGUAGUCCCUGUCUCUUAUAC
rnacentral:rRNA from 1 species